rnacentral:lncRNA from 1 species
CACUUUCAAACCUUUACACAAGACAAAUUAUACAUCCAAAAUGAGCUACUUUCAUGGCCGAUUAUACAUCAUCAUUAACAUUUCUCAUUGCCGAAUCAUAUAACCAACAUCACAAAUAUAUUUAACAUGAAACAUACCUCCAAAUUAAGCUUAUAACAUGACCGAAUAUGUAUACCAACAUUAGUAUCAUGAUCAAGCCAUUUUCACAUGGCUAUGUACAUAUAUACAAAUUUCAAAACCAAACAUCUCAAAACUAGCCUAUACAUGCCACAUAACCAAAAACUCAAAGCUUAUAUUUAUCGAAGCGAUAACCCGAUAGUGUGAUGAGGUUUCCUAUGACUUCCAACCCGAGCAAGUCUCUGAAACUCUAUAAACUUAGGAAAAAUACACAGAGUAAGCUUUGAAAGCUUAGUAAGCCAUAAGCAAAUAAAUCAUAUCAAUGAUAUUAUAAUUCAAUUUGACUAGGCCGAAUUUAGCAAAUCUCAACCACAAAUACAUUCAUCAUACUCGUAAAUUCUUACGACCACAUUAAGUAACUUCACUUAUCUUAUUUAUCAAUGAACAUAUAAACCAUGCUUUCAAAUUCAACCAUUUCAAUCUCAUUUAUCAAUUCAAAAUUUAAAUUAACUACCAUACAUCAAAUUCAUAUUACACAUGCUUCAUAAUUCCACUGUUCAAACCAUAUAUAUUCCUCAUUCAAAUAUGUAUCACAUUCGGUCAUACAAAACACAUAACCAACAAAUCAAAACAUGCUUAUUUAACUCUUUCACAUAUACAUAACAUAUUUAAUAAUUUUACCUUUUCAAUAACAUUUAUCUAAUCAUCUUUCAAACCAAACUGACAUAGCUCAAACCAUGUUUCAUGUUUCAUAAAUCCCAUGUUCGAAACAUAGGACCACAAUUUCAUGGCAUUCGAACUCUUGAAUAUAAUUAAGCUUAUUUCAUUACAAUUUCAUAUAACGAGCAUAUGUAUCACCACGUUCAUUUAUAUACAUUCAUUUCAUUCAUUGUCAUGUAUUUCACAUAUUGUCAUUUGAAACAUACUCACCUUUCAUUCUUGAAUAUCGUAUACACUUCUUACGUACCUGAAUCAGAUAUACUUUCACAUAGUCAUUCAUUUCUCGAUAUUGCCCGUUGAACCGUUCGGAAUCAAUAAGGAUACUCGGAUAGCUCGAAAGCUCUUACAAUGCCAAUGUCCUAGACGUGGUCUUACAAGUAAUCAAAUAUCGAUGACACUGUCCCAGACAGGGUCUUACACGAAAUCGUAUACGAUGCCGAUGUCCCAGACAUGGUCUUACACAUAAAUCUCAAAUUGACGCCAACGUCCUAGAUGUUGUCUUACACGAAAUCACAUAUCGGAAUCCUAUGUCAUGACAUAUGUAUCCUAACUAUUCCUAUGGUUCAUACGGGACUUUCGAACGUCGUAAUUUGAUCGAUUCAAGCUCGUAUUUAAUUCUCCUAUGCUUAUAUCAAUUCGGCAUGAAUACAUAUAAACAUAGUAAUUUAAUUCGACAUAUUUAAUACAUAUACAUUUAAAUUUAACGACAUUUAUUCACUUAUGAACUUAUCUCAUACGGACACGCACAAACCAGACGACUAUUCGAAAAUUUUUGAUUUUUCCCCGAUCCAAAUUCGAUCUCCUCUUUUCUUGAUCUAAUUCAAUUCAAAUUUGGCUUGUUUAAUAACAUAUUCAUUCAAUUUUAUCCAAAAAUACAUAAUUUGGGCAUUGAGCAGCCCAUUUAUUCAAUUUAUUUCACAAUUUGACCCUUCAAUUUACAAAUUUCACAAUUUAAUCCAUAAUACAUAUUUUUAUCAAAAAUAAUUUAAUUAAACAUAUUAAUUUAUCAACAAUUAUUUAUUUUUCAUCAUCAAACAACAAAAACAUCAAGCUAUCAUCAAUGGCAAAUCACAAAUUAAUCAUAAAUUCUAAAAAUUAGGGCAUAGGCUAGCUAGAAUACGAAGCAACGAUCUCAAAAACAUAAAAAUAAUAAAAAAAAUCGAGCAAAAAACAUACCUAAAUCAAGAUUUAAAGGUGCUGAAAUAUUUAAGCAACCAUGAUUUCUUUUUCCUUCAACUUUCGGCAAAAAAGAUGAGAAUGCAUGGCUAUUUUUUUGUUUUGUUUAUUUAAUUAACCAUUAUUUAUUUAAUUACCAAAAUGUCCAUUAAUAAAACAUAAAUAAAACACUUAACGGUUGUCCAUCUUUAUCCACUCAAUUAUUCAAUGGUCAAAUCACAACAUAAAGACCUCACCUUUAAUUAACUAAAGCAAAUAAGCACUUUAACUUAUAGCAAGCUACUUUUCAAUUUUACGCGAUUAAGUCCUUUUAUCAAAUUCAGCACACAAACGAUAAAAUUUUCACACAAAAUUUUCACACAUAUUAAUUAACAUAUUGUAAACACCAAAAGUAAUUUUAAAAUAUUUUUUGACUCAGAUUUGUGGUCCCAAAACCACUGUCCAACUAGGGUCUAAACCGAGCUGUUACAAAAUCCAUUAUUUAACAUUGCCCUAUUUGUAUUAAGCUUUAUCCGAUCCUUUCUCGGAUAAGACCAAUUCAAUAAAGAGCGCAUGGAUCUAGGAUGAUCCAAUUCACAUUCGUCUCUGUACAACUCCUCACCCAUGUAUAACAUGUAUCCACAAUGGCUUGAACACAACUAUUACUACUAGAAAAAAACAAAAGAAUUUAUGUUUUUCCGAAGAAACCAACAUAAAAUUGAGAAUAAAAUUUGCUAAUCAAUAUCAGUGUUACCACAACUCCAUUUAUUCUGUAAAAUCCAUCAAAACCACUCAUUGAACUACAGAGAGAAAAAAAUAUCAGAGACUCCCCUCGAAAUCACAACAAGCUAAACAACUCUAGAGAAAGUGUAAUCCUGAACUGUAUGGAUCUUCGUUUCCAGAACAUUAUUACAUCGAGGAUAAUCACCAUCGUUAGUCAUAUGUCUUUGCACUCUUUGAAAAUUCAUCAACAAUAUAUUCUUCCACAAAAUCCAUAAGAACACUCUCACCCUCUAAGUUGCCCUUGCUUUCCAAAUCAAACUCCAAACAGCAGAAGAAACAAUGUCUUCAAUAUGAACCAAAUUCCUAUAAGUUUCAGUAGAAGAAAACACAUAUCUCUUCAUCCACUUCUAAGCUAUGCAAUCAUAACCUGCUUUAGGUGACGGAGGCAUUGUGACUGAAAUUUGCAAAAUAAUAUGUCUCGGUAUAACACCACUAAGACGAAUCAUGUCCAAACUCUCAUUCUCAGAUACCAUGUCGCAAACUCGCAAAGUGUCAUUCGACUGCCCAGGACUUAUAUAGAAGUCACGGAAAGAACCUACUUGCCUAAGCCACACAUCAUUCUAAAAGUUCGUUAAACGACCAUCUCCAACAAACUAGUAGACAUUAGCAAUGAUUUCUAGCAAGAACUUCAUUAAAGACUUCCAAAUGAAAGAACAUUUACUCCUGGAAAUAGAGUGUGGAAGUAAGCCUUGUACAUUGUAUUUACUCCUUAUCACUCUAACCCACAAAGAAUUUGUAUUCGAAAGCAAUUGAAAGCAAAGCUUCAACAAGAAAACUUUGUUCUGAUAUUUACAAUUUCUCAGACCUAGUCCUCCAGAAUCCAGCGGAUGACAACAUUCACCCCAAAAUAACAAUGCAAGUUUUUUUAACCAUGAACUAGCUCCUCAAAUGAAGUUACGGGCAAUCUUUUCAAUCUCCUUACACAUAGAAAAAGGGAUAUGUCGUACACAUAAAAUAAUUUAGAAUAGCUAAGAGAAUUGACCUUGAUAGAGUUAUACAACCAGCCAGGAACAAUUUCCUCGCUUUGUAAAUUUUUCUGUACUUUGUUCACAAAGAAAUCAAAAGUGCUCAUUGUAACUCUAUUGUGCAACAACAGUAACCCAAGAUAGUUACCAAGAUCUUCCACCCAGUUAAAACCCAUCUCAAUACAAAUAGUAUCUACAAGGUUAUUUAGUGUAUUACGAAAAAAAGAAAAACACCUGUGAUUUACCUCUAUUCACUUUUUUACAAGAAAAAAAAUGAUAGAAAGUGUUUAAAAUACCAUUCACAAUAUUCACUUGACCCCUAAUAGAUUCACAAAAUAGCUUUAAGUUAUUAGCAAAGAACAAGUAAGAUAAUGCUAGACCUCUCUGUGAAAGAAACAAUGGCUUCCAAGAGCCUUGUUCAACCACCUCUCCAAUAAGAUGCUCGAAUCUUUCCAUACACAAUACAAAAUUAUAAGGGAUAGAGGAUCUCCCUGCCUAAUUCCUCAUGUAGGCUAAAAUGAUUUUGUAACAGCACCAUUCCAAAGAACUUGAAGAGUCGAUGAGGAGACACAGACUAAAAUCACGUCAACUAAAUGUAGAGGAAACCCAAAUUCAGUUAAUGUGUCCUUCAAAAAAUCCUAUCUGAUUCUAUCGUAAGUAUUCUCUAAAUCGAUCUUUAGCACCAUCCCAUAUCAAUACAUUUAAGACUCUUCAAAGAAUGCACAACUUCUUGUGCCACAACUAUAUUAUCAGUGAUAUUCCUGCUUGAGAUAAAACUUACUUGGUUCUGACAAGUUAGCUUAACCAUCAAUGGUCUCAACCUAUUAACUAUAGUCUUUGUAAUAAUCUUGUAAAACAUAAAAUUAUCGAUCUAAACUGAUGAAUCCUCUCCAGACUUUGGACCUUAGGCAGUAGUAUCAGCAAGGUUUUAUUUAGAUUAGGAUCUAAUAGCUGACCCUCAACAUCUGCUUGACUAAAGAACAUUCCGAAGGCCCAACAAUAUCCCAUUAAGAUUGGAAAAACUUCACCUGAAAACCAUCCACCCUGAGCAUUUUUAAUGGAGCCAUACCAACGACCGCCUGCGAACCUCAUUGUCAAAAACCAUUAAGAGUAAACUCCCCCUCUCAUUAGACUGCAAUGAAGGAAAUUUACCACGGCAUGAGAACAUACAGCUCUUUGAAAAAAAUUACAUCAUGUUGCUUCAACUUCUCACCAUCAAAGCACCAUUCACCACUCUCAAUGAUAAGACCCUCUACCUUAUUCCUUAUUUGCUUAGUCAAUGUACGACUAUGAAACUAACUCAUAUUCCCUAUCACCAUUCUUGAGCCAAACUGAUCUAGAUUUUUGAAACCACAAUAACUCCUUAUGUUUUAACACUUAUUUUAUUUCCCGUUAAAGCUCAAGUUCAUGAGAGAAAAGUCUUGGAGAAUUUUUCCGCUUCAUACUCUUUUCACCCUUUUCAACUCUGAAAUCAACCUCUUUUUACGCACAAAAAUGUUACCAUAAACACGUUUAUUGCACUUUUGAACAUCCUGGAUAUGCUCCAAAUUUUCAUUAACCGUCAUCUUAUUGUUCCAGUUAUCACUAACUAGGUAUCUAAAAUCUACAUAAAGUAUCCAACUCACAAGACAACGAAAUGGUAUUUCACCCUUUCUCACUUUUGGAUAAAGCGAAAUUAAAAUUGGCCUAUGACCCGAUUUCAAUCUAUGAAGGUCCCUAACAAAAUAGUUAGGUGCAAAAGAAUCCUAACAUGAAUUAAAAAUAUGUUUGUCCAAUCUUUAAGAUAAGUCGCCUCGACACCAAGUAAAUUGGGCUCCACUAGCUCCCAAGUCUCGCAAUUCAUUUCUAAACAAAAAUCGCAGAACCAUUUGCACCAAAUUCUUUGAACAGAAGCACCACCCGCCUUCUUUGAACUAUCAAUAAUCGAAUUAAAAUCUCCAACCAGAAUCUAAGGACCAACUAAAGAAUCUGCCAAAGGAUCUAACAACUUCUAUAGCUUCCUUCUAGCUGUUGAUUGAAGACUAGCAUAAACAGUUGAACAAAUAAAGCUAUUAGAACCUUACUUACUAUGAAUCCUCAGAUGAAUCACCUAACAAUGAAUUUCCAAGAUAUCCACUAAAAUAUCCCUAUUCCAGCAUAACCAAAUUCCACUAGCAAAUUCAUUAGCCUCAACCCAAAAAGAAUUAGGAUAACCAAUUUUUUUAAUAAGACCGUCUGCCUUAGCACCAUUAACCCAGGUUUCAAACAAAUAGAUCAACUAAAGAGAAAAAUCCUUUAUGUACUCAUUCACACUAUUAUGGAACUUGGGAUGCCCAACCCCUUGAUAAUUCCAACAAAAUAUCUUUAUGACCAUAAAUAAAUAAAUAUAAAAGACAAAGCCCAGAAACGAUAAACUAUUUUAGCAACUAACCUUAUCACUAUAGUCACUAUCAGAAUCCAUAAUUUCUUCCCCACUCGAGUCAUCGUCCACCAUAUAAGCACCAUUGGGAACCUGCUCUAGACCACGAACCAAUCCCCUCCAUUGUCGCAUCCAAAUCCACCGUGUCAUUCGGAUGCCUACUAGUAACAAUAUCCGAUGGUUUAUCAUGUUGUCCAUUCCCAACAUGUCUAAUAUUCGAUACACUCAUUGAGGGGUCCUGCUUAAUUUCUCGAAAGUAAAAGUCCCAUUCUCCUUCCCUUUAACCACCUCAGAAAUUCGCUUCUCCACCACACGCACUACCUUAUGUUUGUCUUUGUCCAAAUUAGUAGAAACAUUGAAGGAAUGAACAAAUAAUUCUUCCCUAUGGCCCACAUCUAUUUUUGGUCUCAUCUUAGAGCUAUUAUCAAAAGCCAUAUGAUCUUUUGUGGCCUUAAAGACCCAAUUUCCC